rnacentral:rRNA from 1 species
CGUUCUUAGUUCGUGGAGUGAUCUGUCUGCUUAAUUGCGUUUCAAAUUUUUAUUUGAGGACCAGGUUUUGGUUUGGGUAGUGGUCCUACUAUGACUGUGAACUGUCAUGUCUUCGGAUGUGCGACUAUCGGUCUAGGAUCGCAUCUCAGCCCCUGGGACUCUUUUGAACGCAACGGACGUGAUUGCUACCCCUUGUUGACAUUAGAGGAGUCUCGAUAUUCAUUGGCCAAACUUACCGCUUCGAGCUUGCUCGUGCAGUUUUGUUAGCCGGUGGAUAAACUCGG